UAAGAUGGACCCUAAAAAGUCCUUUAGACA
rnacentral:tRNA from 1 species